GGUGUCAAUAGUGCCGGGACCCCCUCCCAGAGUAAGUAGUCAAACCGUUUAAGAACAGUUUGACAACUUACCUGAGGUCUGCUGGGAAAUGGGGCAGUAGUAGGGCAUAGGAGCAGUGGUGUGUGUGAGUGGUGCAGUGUGUGUGUGUGUGUGAGGGGGACAGUGUGUGCGCAGUGUGUGUGUGAGGGCGGCAGCGUAUGUGUGGGACAGUAUGUGUGUGAGUAUUGCAGUGUAUGUGUGUGUAUGGGGCGGCAGUGUAUGGGGGCAGUGUGUGUG